rnacentral:sRNA from 1 species
CUCUAAUAUAGAGCUACAGCCAAUCUGCUAAUGGUGUGUUUCCAACACUAUCUGAUCGUAAGAUUUACUUAUGAUGCUUUAAAAAUUCAGACUCAUAUUCCUGUGUCUUGGAGAGAUGUGUGUGUGUGUGUGUGUGUGUGUGUGUGUGUGAGAGAGAGAGAGAGAGAGAGAGAGAGA